rnacentral:lncRNA from 1 species
AAUAUCUCGAGUAUUACAAACAUUUCAAACUCAUUAACUCUGCAACAAAAUUAUAGACAUAAAUCUUCUGAGGCUUCGUUUGGAAUUAUAGAAAAAUUGCGUUACGUGCGGUGAGAAAUAAGGAUGGAAAAAUACCUGUUUGUUUCGGUACAUAAAAUUGCGUUUCACAUAUUGCUGUUAGUCGGUUAUAAUAUAUUUUCUGCCGUUCCAUCGAAGAAUGCAGAAACAAAUCCAUAUAUGCUUUUUCUCAACUCCAUUCUAUCUAAUAACAUUAGAUCCAUCUCAAUACCAAACUAAGCCUGAGUCUAACUAGGGAUGUAAAAACAAGCCAAUAUUUUUUUUAACAACAUUUUUUAAAAUAUUAAUUUUGUAUUCAUAAUUAUAAUAUAAUUAAUUCAAAAUUUUGAAAUGUUUUUUCUUAUAGGAAAUUAUCUAAAGGCCUUUAAAUAAAUAAUUAAAAGAAAAAACUUCAAAUACCACCCAUAUAGUUUCACACUUUCUUAUUUUAGUACCUUAUAAUUUAAAAUGUAUCAAUUUAGUGUCAUAUGGUUUCAUUUUUAUUUUUUUUAUUGUCGAUUUCACUAAUUUUUUCGUUAAAUCAAUGAGAAACUUAAAACUAAAGGGUACGAAAGUAAAUAUUCGAUAAACCUAAGUUGGGUAUCUCAAGUAUUUUGUGUAUAACUUAACGAAAUAUUAACGAAAAAACUGACGAAAAAAUGAAAAUAAAACCACAUGACACUAACUCGAUACACUUUAAAUAACAUGACACUAAAGUAAAAAAGUGCGAAACUAGAUGGUAUUUGAAGUUUAUCAUAAUUAAAAAUAAAUAUACUUUAUGAAGCUAAUAUUAAGA